rnacentral:rRNA from 1 species
GACGAACGCUGGCGGCGUGCCUAACACAUGCAAGUCGAACGAAGCUCGAAGCUCUGAGAUUUCGGUCAAGGAGCCUAGAUGACUUAGUGGCGAACGGGUGAGUAAUGCGUGAGCAACCUGCCUUUCAGAGGGGGACAACAGCUGGAAACGGCUGCUAAUACCGCAUAACACAUCGGGGUGGCAUCACCCUGGUGUCAAAGGAGCAAUCCGCUGAGAGAUGGGCUCACGUCUGAUUAGCUGGUUGGUGAGGUAACGGCUCACCAAGGCGACGAUCAGUAGCCGGUCUGAGAGGAUGAACGGCCACAUUGGGACUGAGAUACGGCCCAGACUCCUACGGGAGGCAGCAGUGGGGAAUAUUGGGCAAUGGGCGAAAGCCUGACCCAGCAACGCCGCGUGAAGGAAGAAGGCUUUCGGGUUGUAAACUUCUUUUAUCAGGGACGAAGGAUGUGACGGUACCUGAUGAAUAAGCCACGGCUAACUACGUGCCAGCAGCCGCGGUAAUACGUAGGUGGCAAGCGUUGUCCGGAUUUACUGGGUGUAAAGGGCGCGUAGGCGGAGAGACAAGUCAGAUGUGAAAUCUAUGGGCUUAACCCAUAAACUGCAUUUGAAACUAUCUCCCUUGAGUGAUGGAGAGGCAAGCGGAAUUCCUAGUGUAGCGGUGAAAUGCGUAGAUAUUAGGAGGAACACCAGUGGCGAAGGCGGCUUGCUGGACAUUAACUGACGCUGAGGCGCGAAAGCGUGGGGAGCAAACAGG